UUUUUUUUUUAUAUUUAAUAAGCUUUAAAACUUGAUGACCUGUGAAACAAAAUGAUUUUAUCACAUUUUAAUUUAUAAGAUUAUUUUACUUUAUAUUUUGCAUAAUAUAAACAGUGAUCAAAGUUUACUCAUAUAUUUAGUUACAAUGAAUCUCACUUUAAAAGCUUUACUUGUGUGAUCAAAUGUUGUAUAGUUUUUGUGAAGUUUGCUCAAAAUAAGAUCAGUAUCUUUGCAUAUCAAACAUUUUAUAUUAAUCAGAAGAUAUACAUUUAAUAAACCUAUUUUAGCCUUUAGUCAACAUGAUAUGCACAUCCAAAGGUGUCAAAAAUAUUGCCUGUGCUUAGUUGGAAGACUGAGUACUAUGUAAUUUAUAGCUAAACCUUAGUCAUUAAAAAUCUGAAUUAAGUUUAAUUUACUGUAUUUCUAGCUCACCUGGCCCAAAGGGCCAAGUGAGCUUUUCCCAUCACUUUGAGUCCGUCGUCCGUCGUUGUUGUUAACUUUUACAAAAAUCUUCUCCUCUGAAACUACUGGGCCAAAUUAAACCAAACUUGGCCACAAUCAUCAUUGGGGUUUCUAGUUUAAAAAAUGUGUCGGGUGACCCAGCCAACCAACCGAGAUGGCUGCCAUGGCUAAAAAUAGAACAUAGGGGUAAAAUGCAGUUAUUGGCUUAUAACUCAAAAACCAAAGCAUUUAGAGCAAAUCUGACAUGUUGUAAAACUGUUUAUCAGGUCAAGAUCUAUCUGCCCUGAAAUUUUCAGAUGAAUCAGAUAUUCCGUUGUUGGGUUGCUGCCCCUGAAUUGGUAAUUUUAAGGAAAUUUUGCUGUUAUUGGUUAUUAUCUUGAAUAUUAUUAUAGAUAGAGAUAAACUGUAAACAGCAAUAAUGUUCAGCAAAGUAAGAUUAACAAUAAAGUCAACAUGACCAAAAUGGUCAGUUGACCCCUUUAGGAGUUAUUGCCCUUUAUUGUCAAUUUUUAACCAUUUUUUGUAAAUCUUUGUUAUCAUUUACAAAAAUCUUCUCUGAAACUACUGGGCCAAAUUAAUCCAAACUUGGCCACAAUCAUCUUUGGGGUAUCUAGUUAAAAAAAUGUGUCCGGUGACCUGGCCAUUAAAUCAAGAUGGCUGCCACAGCUAAAAAUAAAACAUAGGGGUAAAAUGCAGUUUUUGGCUUAUAACUCAAAAACCAAAGCAUUUAGAGCAAAUCUAACAUGGGGUUAAAUUGUUUAUUAGGUCAACAUCUAUCUGCCCCGAAAUUUUCAGAUGAAUCACACAACCUGUUGUUGGGUUGCUGUCCCUUAAUCGGUAAUUUUAAGGAAAUUUUUCUUAUUUUGGUUAUUAUCUUGAAUAUUAUUAUAGAUAGAGAUAAACUGUAAACAGCAAUAAUGUUCAGCAAAGUAAGAUUUACAAAUAAGUCAAAUGAUCGAAAUGGUCAGUUGACCCCCUAAGGAGUAAUGGUCCAUUAUAGUCAAUUUUUAACAAAUUUCAUAAAAUUUGUAAAUUUUUAUUAACAUUUUCCACUGAAACUACUGAGCCAAGUUCAUUAUAGAUAGAGAUAAUUGUAAGCAGCAAGACUGUUUAGUAAAGUAAGAUGUACAAACACAUCACCAUCACCAAAACACAAUUUUGUCAUGAAUCCAUCUGCUUCCUUUGUUUAAUAUUCACAUAGACCAAGGUGAGCGACACAGGCUCUUUAGAGCCUCUAGUUUCUAAGUAAUUAUUAAUGAGAAAGUUAAAAUAGAAUGAAUUUAAGAUCUGUAAAUUCUGAUUGAUAAUCAAUCUUUAGACAGAUUCACAACAUUCCUAUCUGGGUAAAUAUUUCUAACAGAAAAAUAAUUUUGAGAAGGCACUGUCUAUU
rnacentral:lncRNA from 1 species